AUCUCUUACACAGGCUGACCGAUUUCUCCUGGUGUUCAGAGUCUGUUUUUGUCUAGCACCAUUUGAAAUCGGUUAUGAUGUAGGGGGA
ensembl:miRNA microRNA 29c